GCAAAAAUGAUAAGAUGUCACUUCCAAGAUUGUUACAAAAAGACCGACUUCUGUCUCAUUCACCCUGGCACAUUGUGAACUGCACUAUGAAGAGGCUGAAGUGGCAAGAAAUUGAUGGCUGUAAGAGUCAUCUAGGACUCAACACCUGCCAGCAACCAUGUGGGCGAGCUUAGAAGCAGAUCACCCCCAGUGAAAGUUCCAGACGCUAAAAAUCGGGGAGAAGAAAGGUGUAUCAGAUGAGAUCUUUGAAGUGCCAAGCUUUCCAUCCAAGGCCCAGGUCACCUUAGGCUGACUGUGCCCCUCAACCAAAGAUUACAUCUUCUCUCAAGGCACUUUGUUCCUACAUGUCGUUCUCCUCCCCUCAAAGCCACAGGCUUACGAUGGAAACAGCUCUCCUGGUAGCAGCCCUGGGACACUGUACUAUCUCUUCUGCUUCUUCUGUGACCACACUUCUGCAAAUAAACCCUUUCCAAAUCAUCCUAAUUUGAGUGUGACAUCUGCUUCUCAGACUGAUAGAGCUCUCUAUAAAACAGAGGUGGAGAAACUGAAGGACAAAACCUUCUUUUCCCCUCCACCCAGAAAAGGAUCACAGAUAGUGUCUACAGUACACUGGGCCCUAACACAUAAAGUUCAUGUCAGAUGAGAAAAUUUUUUAAAUGUGCCAUCUGUCAUCAGAAAUCACUUACUUAAAUAAUAAUGUAGGCAUUUUAAUUGCUUUGGGGGGUCUUUUUCACCUUUGUUUUCUAAUUAUACUUAUAUCUUAGAAUCUGUGGGCGCAGUAUUGAGGUCAGCUCAUUAACUGGAACCCAUCUUUGUCCGUAAUUUUUUUUUUUUUUUAGUUUCCAGCAUCUUUUGUUUUUCCUAGAAUCUGGAUACAAUAACUCUAGCAGGGCGGUG